rnacentral:rRNA from 1 species
CCUAACGGGCGGCAGCAGUGGGGAAUAUUGGACAAUGGGGGGAACCCUGAUCCAGCCAUGCCGCGUGUGUGAAGAAGGCCCUCGGGUUGUAAAGCACUUUCAGUGAGGAAGAACGCCUGGUGGUUAAUACCCAUCAGGAAAGACAUCACUCACAGAAGAAGCACCGGCUAACUCCGUGCCAGCAGCCGCGGUAAUACGGAGGGUGCGAGCGUUAAUCGGAAUUACUGGGCGUAAAGCGCGCGUAGGUGGCUUGAUAAGCCGGUUGUGAAAGCCCCGGGCUCAACCUGGGAACGGCAUCCGGAACUGUCAAGCUAGAGUGCAGGAGAGGAAGGUAGAAUUCCCGGUGUAGCGGUGAAAUGCGUAGAGAUCGGGAGGAAUACCAGUGGCGAAGGCGGCCUUCUGGACUGACACUGACACUGAGGUGCGAAAGCGUGGGUAGCAAACAGGAUUAGAUACCCUAGUAGUC